UACGUAGGUGGCAAGCGUUGUCCGGAUUUACUGGGCGUAAAGAGCGCGCAGGCGGUCGUUCAAGUCGCGUGUGAAAGCCCCCGGCUCAACUGGGGAGGGUCACGCGAUACUGAUCGACUCGAAGGCAGGAGAGGGUAGUGGAAUUCCCGGUGUAGUGGUGAAAUGCGUAGAUAUCGAGAGGAACACCAGUGGCGAAGGCGAGUCUCUGGACAUUUCCUGACGCUGAGGCACGAAAGCCAGGGGAGCAAACGGG
rnacentral:rRNA from 1 species